GCGGAGGAAAAGAAACCAACAGGGAUUGCCCUAGUAACGGCGAGUGAAGCGGCAACAGCUCAAAUUUGAAAUCUGGCUCUCGGGCCCGAGUUGUAAUUUGUAGAGGAUGCUUUUGAUGCGGUGCCUUCCGAGUUCCCUGGAACGGGACGCCAUAGAGGGUGAGAGCCCCGUCUGGUUGGAUGCCAAAUCUCUGUAAAGCUCCUUCGACGAGUCGAGUAGUUUGGGAAUGCUGCUCUAAAUGGGAGGUAUAUGUCUUCUAAAGCUAAAUACCGGCCAGAGACCGAUAGCGCACAAGUAGAGUGAUCGAAAGAUGAAAAGCACUUUGAAAAGAGAGUUAAAAAGUACGUGAAAUUGUUGAAAGGGAAGCGUUUAUGACCAGACUUGGGCUUGGUUAAUCAUCUGGGGUUCUCCCCAGUGCACUUUUCCAGUCCAGGCCAGCAUCAGUUUUCGCCGGGGGAUAAAGGCUUCGGGAAUGUGGCUCUCUCCGGGGAGUGUUAUAGCCCGUUGCGUAAUACCCUGGCGGGGACUGAGGUUCGCGCAUCUGCAAGGAUGCUGGCGUAAUGGUCAUCAACGACCCGUCUUGAAACACGGACCAAGGAGUCGUCUUCGUAUGCGAGUGUUCGGGUGUCAAACCCCUACGCGUAAUGAAAGUGAACGCAGGUGAGAGCUUCGGCGCAUCAUCGACCGAUCCUGAUGUUCUCGGAUGGAUUUGAGUAAGAGCAUACGGGGCCGGACCCGAAAGAAGGUGAACUAUGCCUGUGUAGGGUGAAGCCAGAGGAAACUCUGGUGGAGGCUCGCAGCGGUUCUGACGUGCAAAUCGAUCG
rnacentral:rRNA from 1 species